UACGGAGGGUGCAAGCGUUAUCCGGAUUCACUGGGUUUAAAGGGUGCGUAGGUGGGUUGGUAAGUCAGUGGUGAAAUCCCCGAGCUUAACUUGGGAACUGCCAUUGAUACUAUCAAUCUUGAAUACCGUGGAGGUUAGCGGAAUAUGUCAUGUAGCGGUGAAAUGCUUAGAUAUGACAUAGAACACCAAUUGCGAAGGCAGCUGGCUACACGAAUAUUGACACUGAGGCACGAAAGCGUGGGGAUCAAACAGG
rnacentral:rRNA from 1 species